UACGGGGGGGGCAAGCGUUGUUCGGAAUUACUGGGCGUAAAGGGCUCGUAGGCGGCCAACUAAGUCAGACGUGAAAUCCCUCAGCUUAACUGGGGAACUGCGUCUGAUACUGGAUGGCUUGGAUCCGGGAGAGGGAUGCGGAAUUCCAGGUGUAGCGGUGAAAUGCGCAGAUAUCUGGGGGAAGGCCGGCGGCGAAGGCGCUUUUCUGGUUAGAUCCUGACACUGAGGCACGAAAGCGUGGGGAGCAAACAGG
rnacentral:rRNA from 1 species